rnacentral:rRNA from 1 species
UACAGAGGGUGCGAGCGUUGCUCGGAAUCACUGGGCGUAAAGGGCGCGUAGGCGGGAUGGCAAGUCAGUCGUGAAAUCUCUCGGCUCAACCGAGAAACGUCGGCUGAUACUGCCGUUCUUGAGGGAUGCAGAGGAGACUGGAAUUCCCGGUGUAGCGGUGAAAUGUGUAGAGAUCGGGAGGAACACCGGUGGCGAAGGCGGGUCUCUGGGCAUCUCCUGACGCUGAGGCGCGAAAGCGUGGGGAGCAAACGGG